GACGAACGCUGGCGGCGUGCCUAAUACAUGCCAGUUGAGCGCUGAAGGUUGGUACUUGUACCAACUGGAUGAGCAGCGAACGGGUGAGUAACGCGUGGGGAAUCUGCCUUUGAGCGGGGGACAACAUUUGGAAACGAAUGCUAAUACCGCAUAAAAACUUUAAACACAAGUUUUAAGUUUGAAAGAUGCAAUUGCAUCACUCAAAGAUGAUCCCGCGUUGUAUUAGCUAGUUGGUGAGGUAAAGGCUCACCAAGGCGAUGAUACAUAGCCGACCUGAGAGGGUGAUCGGCCACAUUGGGACUGAGACACGGCCCAAACUCCUACGGGAGGCAGCAGUAGGGAAUCUUCGGCAAUGGACGAAAGUCUUACCGAGCAACGCCGCGUGAGUGAAGAAGGUUUUCGGAUCGUAAAACUCUGUUGGUAGAGAAGAACGUUGGUGAGAGUGGAAAGCUCAUCAAGUGACGGUAACUACCCAGAAAGGGACGGCUAACUACGUG
rnacentral:rRNA from 1 species